UACGGGGGGAGCAAGCGUUGUUCGGAUUUACUGGGCGUAAAGGGCGCGUAGGCGGCCUCCGCAAGUCAAUUGUGAAAUCUCCGGGCUUAACUCGGAAAGGUCAACUGAUACUGCGGGGCUAGAGUGCGGAAGGGGCAACUGGAAUUCUUGGUGUAGCGGUGAAAUGCGUAGAUAUCAAGAGGAACACCUGCGGCGAAGGCGGGUUGCUGGGCCGACACUGACGCUGAAGCGCGAAAGCCAGGGGAGCGAACGGG
rnacentral:rRNA from 1 species